rnacentral:rRNA from 1 species
GUGAGGAAUAUUGCGCAAUGGAGGCAACUCUGACGCAGCCAAGCCGCGUGCAGGAAGAAGGCGCUACGCGUUGUAAACUGCUUUUAACCGGGAAGAAACCCCAGGACGUGUCCUGGGUUGACGGUACCGGAGGAAUAAGCACCGGCUAACUUCGUGCCAGCAGCCGCGGUAAUACGAAGGGUGCAAGCGUUAUCCGGAUUCAUUGGGUUGAAAGGGUGCGUAGGCGGAGCGUUAAGUCAGUGGUGAAAUCCUGCAGCUUAACUGUAGACUUGCCAUUGAUACUGACGCUCUUGAGUGCGGUUGAAGUGGGCGGAAUGUGCCGUGUAGCGGUGAAAUGCUUAGAUAUGGCACAGAACACCAAUUGCGAAGGCAGCUCACUAAGGCGAUACUGACGCUGAGGCACGAAAGCGUGGGGAUCGAACAGGAUUAGAAACCCGGGUAGUCC